AGUGAACGCUGGCGGUAGGCCUAACACAUGCAAGUCGAACGGCAGCACAGUAAGAGCUUGCUCUUACGGGUGGCGAGUGGCGGACGGGUGAGGAAUACAUCGGAAUCUACUUUUUCGUGGGGGAUAACGUAGGGAAACUUACGCUAAUACCGCAUAAGACCUACGGGUGAAAGCAGGGGAUCUUCGGACCUUGCGCGAGUGAAUGAGCCGAUGUCGGAUUAGCUAGUUGGCGGGGUAAAGGCCCACCAAGGCGACGAUCCGUAGCUGGUCUGAGAGGAUGAUCAGCCACACUGGAACUGAGACACGGUCCAGACUCUUACGGGAGGCAGCAGUGGGGAAUAUUGGACAAUGGGCGCAAGCCUGAUCCAGCCAUACCGCGUGGGUGAAGAAGGCCUUCGGGUUUUAAAGCCCUUUUGUUGGGAAAGAAAAGCAGCAGGUUAAUACCCCGCUGUUCUGACGGUACCCAAAGAAUAAGCACCGGCUAACUUCGUG
rnacentral:rRNA from 1 species